AUCAUAAUGUGCUUAAAGUGAAUAUUUUUCAUGUGGUUGUAAAUUCCAUAGUUUAUUUAUUGAUUGAUUAAAUAGCGUCUUAUAUUUGGUUCUCUAUAUUUCAGGUAAAUAGUUGAUAUAUUGAGUAGAAGUAUUCUCUCGUCCUGCUAUGACUGCUACCGGAGCUGUGGAGUGUGACAAUGGUGUUUGUGUCAAAUCCAUCAAACGCCAUUAUCACACUAAUUAGCUACGAUCAGACCAAGACUACAUCAACAUCAAGGCUCCAUUAUGUUCUUCUUCAUUUCUGCAGAGAGUCUGAAAAUAGCAACCAACUUGGGAAGUGAAGGGAUUGAGGGCCUGAGUACACUGACCACACUACAGGAGUUCUGUGCAGGCUGCAAGAGAAUCAUGCAAUUCUUUGUAUUGUUGUAUCUGGUUGCAUUUUUUUUUUUUAGAAAACUGAAGUCUCCAAAAUAUCAUCAUGUUAUUUACAAAUACUUAAAAUGUAUUUGUUUUUCUUUAUGUAUUUUUUGUUACCCCCUUUACGCAAUCUCCAUUCUUUCCUUGUACCAUCCAUUACCCAUUCUGUACCUUCUUCCACUUUUACCUCCUUUCCCCCUGUCUCUGAGCAAGAUGUCUCUAAACGUCUAUUAUCCUUUCACCCACCAAAUGCUCUCCUCCAUGUAAAAUCUUUUCCCUAUGUCCUAUCCCAAUGCAUGUUAUUACCUUUUUUUGUUUACUGCCAUCGACCCUCUUCCCUCAAACGUGUAAUUGUUAAACCCAUCCUAAAAGAAGCAGCUCUUGACCCUACCUUUCCUUCAAACCACCAAUCCAUAUCACAGCUCCCCUUCACUUCUAAGCUUGUUGAGUAUCUUGUAUUUACCUGUCUAACUCACUUUCUCAAUACUAACUCCCUCCUUGAUCUUCUUCAAUCUGUCCCUUACCAAUGUGAUUAACAAUUUAAUAACUACCAAAUCUAAAAGUUUACUCUCUACUCUAAAUCUACUCUCUCUUAAUGCUCUUCAACAUACGGCAUUUGAUACUGUUGACCACUGUUCUACAAACCCUCCAAAACUUUAAACUGUGACACUGUACCAUCCUUUCUGAAUGCUCACUUAGUGUCUUUAUUUGGUGCCACCUCCUCCUCACUAUCUGUCUUACUUAAAGUUCUCCAAGGCACUGUUCCUGGUCAUCUUUUAUUCUUAAUUUACAUUGCCUCACUUAGUAGAUGUAUUAACUUAUUUGGCUUUUUUACAAUCUAUAUGCUGCUGAUACCUGGAGCGUGUCACAAACUGCACCUCUUCCAUUUCUCACUGGAUGUCUUCCAAUUUUCUAAAACUGAACUCCUCAUCUUCUCCUCCACCCCUCCAAAUAGUAAUUCUUCCUCAAUUUCCCUGGGACACCUAUCACCCCAACCCCUCAAACUCACUGCCUUGUUGUUACUUUCAGCUCAGGUCGUAUCUUUUCUACUUACACCCAGUUUGUCUCUAAAUACUGUAACUCCCAUCUUAAAAAUAUGGCCUGCGUUUGCCCUUUUCUAACUCAAGAAGGCACUUAUUCAUGCAUACAAUUCCCUACAUUACUAUUGCAACUCACUGCUCAUUGACCUUCCAAAUAUCUGCAUUGUCCCUCUUCAGUCUGUAAUUUAUCCUGCAGCUAGAUCUAUCUUCCUGAAUGGCAAAGGAGUGAAGUGUUAGAAUAGCGAUCAAACAUUUCAUUGGCUUUCUAAACCCUUCAUGAUCCAAUUCAAACUGCUAACAAUAACCUACAAAGUCCUUCCCAACUCUACUACUCACUACAUUUCCUCUCUACCACUUUUAGUUCCAUUUCCUCUGCAAGUGACCUUCUCCUGACAACUUCUCCAUAGCGUAACUGCAAACUCUCGCCUACAAGAUUUUACAAGGGCUGCCCUGUUCCUUUGGACUAUUCAGUUCCAUCAACCUCUCCUCCAGUCCAUUCACUGAAAACACACCUCUUACCAUCUUCCUGGGUGACGUUUCACUGCGCUCAUUAGUUCCCUCGCCUCCAUAAGAUAGGAAGCCGGUUACUUUCUAUAACCACAAGGUACAAUUUCAGACCAGGGCCUGCAGACCCCUCUAUGACAAUCCAAAGUAGAAAAAGUCUAGGCACUCAGCGGUAUAAUAAGGCAUUUUAAUGAAACAUUGUGCAUAUUACAAGUAGCAAGAAGAUCUUUAUCACGCAUGAAAAUGUGGAAAAGUUGCUGCUUGUAAUAUACACAAAGGUUCAUUAAAAUUGCUUUAUUACACCCCUGAGUGCCUGGACCGUUUGUAUUUUGGAUAACCCAUGUCUCCAUAGCCCAGCUCACUGUCUCUCCUGCCACUGUUUGGUUCUUCCACACACCAUUUUUACUAGGUUAUUCCGACACAGGCAUCAUAUCCUUUAAUCCUUAACUAGUCACUAUUAUAAUUCUCGUGUAAAUUACUUUUCAUAUAUCCCCAUUUUAAAAUCAUGAAGCACAGAGAACAUGUUGGUAUUGUAUAAAUGCUAAUAAUAAAAAAAUAAAAAGAACAUUGUCUUAUUGCUUAGGAGUCUGUAAAUUGCAAGAUUCAAAUAUUAUCUCAACAUUUUUUAUACAACUAAUAUUUCUGUAACAAAUAAAUGAAACAUUUGAUUUGUGUAGUUUCAUUUUAUAAAGUGUUGCAGAAGAACAAUCUGUCUCCAUAAACCACUUUAUUAUUAUUAUUUUAUAUUCACAUUCUGGCUUUGUUUAAUAUAAUUGCCAUGCAAGAUGUGCUUGGUAUUGAAGCAGUUAAAAACUAAUGGUGUACUUGUAGUCCCUAUUGUUUUAUUUUGCAUGUUGAAAUUAAAUGCCAAAUAUUUGAUUUAUGAUCACACACUGAGCACAUUUUUUCUCUCGCUCCACAUUAAUGCAGGUUUAUAAUAAUGUGCUAACAAGAGUGAUUAGCUACAAUGUCUACCAGAUGAUAUUUCUCAUUCUUUUAAAGUUCUAGCAGAGUUCAUAAGAAAAAUGCUGAUGUCUUAUUAGCACUGACUAUAAAGCUUCAUUCUUAAUAAACCCUUG